rnacentral:lncRNA from 1 species
AAAAUUUGACGGGGUGAGCUUAAAGCUUGAGGAGGUGCUCUCCCACUCCCAAUUACCUUACCUUCAAGAGUGGAAAAUAUAACUUACAAGAGUUAAUGGAUGAAUAGAGUGGAAAGUUACAUGAAUUUCAAGGAAAAGAUGACCAAAUUCAGCAAUAAAAAAACCAUGCCUUUCGUAAAGAAUCGUGUAUUUUUGUAGGUCUUUUACUUUUCAUAUACCAUUUCUAUAGGUGAGGUUUCUUUGUGUUGUGCCAAACACCUACUGCAAUAUUAUGUCUAACUAUUAGUACAUUUUACCCAUCAAAGCCUAAGAGAGUAGUAUGAGAAUCUGAAGUGCAUGCAAAACCAAAUGAAAUUCAAGUACUGAAGAAAGAACUGAAAACAACAACAUUGAAAAAUAGCGAGUUGAGUACGAGAGCUAAGCAGACGAUAAAAAAAACUGAGGCAGCUGAAAAGAGUAAAGUUGCACUUCAGAAUC